ACGCUCGACACCUACGGGAGGCAGCAGUGGGAAUAUUGCACAAUGGGGGAAACCCUGAUGCAGCAACGCCGCGUGAAGGAAGACGGUUUUCGGAUUGUAAACUUCUAUCGACAGGGACGAAGAAAGUGACGGUACCUGAAUAAGAAGCCCCGGCUAACUACGUGCUAGCAGCCGCGGUAAUCUGAGCGGGCUGGCAAGGC
rnacentral:rRNA from 1 species